rnacentral:rRNA from 1 species
UGGGGAGUAUUGCACAAUGGGGAAACCCUGAUGCAGCAACGCCGCGUGAACGAAGAAGGUCUUCGGAUUGUAAAGUUCUGUUCUUGGUGAAGAUAAUGACGGUAGCCAAGGAGAAAGCUCCGGCUAACUACGUGCCAGCAGCCGCGGUAAUACGUAGGGAGCGAGCGUUGUCCGGAUUUACUGGGUGUAAAGGGUGCGCAGGCGGCUCUGCAAGUCAGGCGUGAAAGCUAGGGGCUCAACCCCUAAAUUGCGCUUGAAACUGUGGAGCUUGAGUGAAGUAGAGGCAGGCGGAAUUCCCGGUGUAGCGGUGAAAUGCGUAGAGAUCGGGAGGAACACCAGUGGCGAAGGCGGCCUGCUGGGCUUUAACUGACGCUCAGGCACGAAAGCAUGGGUAGCAAACAGGAUUAGAUACCC